rnacentral:rRNA from 1 species
UACGGAGGGGGCUAGCGUUGUUCGGAAUUACUGGGCGUAAAGCGCGCGUAGGCGGCUUUGUAAGUUAGAGGUGAAAGCCCGGAGCUCAACUCCGGAAUUGCCUUUAAGACUGCAUCGCUAGAAUCAUGGAGAGGUGAGUGGAAUUCCGAGUGUAGAGGUGAGAUUCGUAGAUAUUCGGAAGAACACCAGUGGCGAAGGCGACUCACUGGACAUGUAUUGACGCUGAGGUGCGAAAGCGUGGGGAGCAAACAGG